rnacentral:rRNA from 1 species
UUUUGACCUCAAAUCAGGUAGGAUUACCCGCUGAACUUAAGCAUAUCAAUAAGCGGAGGA